CGUCAUGAAAGUCGGUAACACCCGAAGCCAGUGGCCUAACCCUUUUGGGAGGGAGCUGUCGAAGGUGGGAUCGGCGAUUGGGACGAAGUCGUAACAAGGUAGCCGUACCGGAAGGUGCGGCUGGAUCACCUCCUUUCU
rnacentral:rRNA from 1 species